rnacentral:lncRNA from 1 species
UUGCUAUAACAUUCCCGGGAGUCAGCCUGACAUCCUCGUACACACCCUACCCCAUUGGGGGUUGGGAACUUCAUGGAUAGGUGGUAUAUUGAGGUUACAAUUCGCAUGUCCCUUAAAAUGGGUCUGCCCAGGAUCCCGUUAUAGGAGAUGUCUUCGUUUACUACCAUGAACUCUGCAACCUGAGUGACAGCUCGGGGUUCCACUCCAAGGGUGAUUGGGAGUCUUACCCUUCCAACAAUCUGGACAGCAUUCCCCGUGAAACCAUACAACUCAUUAUAGCAAGCCAUCAUAUCCUUAUCCGCCAUUUUCAUUCUUUGAUACGCAUUGUAGGCCAAGAUAUUGACAGAGCUUCCGUUAUCGACGAGGAGCCUGUGUACAUUGACAUUUCCGAUCACGGCUGUUACCACCAGGGCAUCGCUAUGAGAAUGGUGUAC